rnacentral:rRNA from 1 species
AUUGAACGCUGGCGGCAGGCCUAACACAUGCAAGUCGAGCGGAUGAAGGGAGCUUGCUCCUGGAUUCAGCGGCGGACGGGUGAGUAAUGCCUAGGAAUCUGCCUGGUAGUAGGGGAUAACGUCCGGAAACGGGCGCUAAUACCGCAUACGUCCUGAGGGAGAAAGUGGGGGAUCUUCGGACCUCACGCUAUCAGAUGAGCCUAGGUCGGAUUAGCUAGUUGGUGGGGUAAAGGCCUACCAAGGCGACGAUCCGUAACUGGUCUGAGAGGAUGAUCAGUCACACUGGAACUGAGACACGGUCCAGACUCCUACGGGAGGCAGCAGUGGGGAAUAUUGGACAAUGGGCGAAAGCCUGAUCCAGCCAUGCCGCGUGUGUGAAGAAGGUCUUCGGAUUGUAAAGCACUUUAAGUUGGGAGGAGGGGCAGUAAGUUAAUACCUUGCUGUUUUGACGUUACCAACAGAAUAAGCACCGGCUAACUUCGUG